AUGCUCGCUUCAGCAGCACAUAUACUAAAAUAAUUGGAAUGAUACAGAGAGGAUUAGCAUGGCUCAUGAGCAAGGAUGACAUGCAAAUUCGUGAAGCAUUCCAUAUUUUU
rfam:Myotis brandtii contig203500, whole genome shotgun sequence.